rnacentral:rRNA from 1 species
ACUCAAAGGAAUUGACGGGGGCCCGCACAAGCGGCGGAGCAUGCGGAUUAAUUCGAUGCAACGCGAAGAACCUUACCUGGGUUUGACAUAUGCCGGACAGCUGUAGAGAUAUGGUUUCCGCAAGGUCGGUAUACAGGUGGUGCAUGGCUGUCGUCAGCUCGUGUCGUGAGAUGUUGGGUUAAGUCCCGCAACGAGCGCAACCCUCGUCCUAUGUUGCCAGCGGGUCAUGCCGGGGACUCAUAGGAGACUGCCGGGGUCAACUCGGAGGAAGGUGGGGAUGACGUCAAGUCAUCAUGCCCCUUAAGUCCAGGGCUUCACGCAUGCUACAAUGGCUGGUACAAAGGGCUGCGAUGCCGUAAGGUGGAGCGAAUCCCAAAAAGCCAGUCUCAGUUCGGAUUGGGGUCUGCAACUCGACCCCAUGAAGUCGGAGUCGCUAGUAAUCGCAGAUCAGCAACGCUGCGGUGAAUACGUUCCCGGGCCUUGUACACACCGCCCGU